GACGAACGCUGGCGGCGUGCUUAACACAUGCAAGUCGAACGGAAAGGCCCUGCUUUUGUGGGGUGCUCGAGUGGCGAACGGGUGAGUAACACGUGAGUAACCUGCCCUUGACUUUGGGAUAACUUCAGGAAACUGGGGCUAAUACCGGAUAGGAGCUCCUGCUGCAUGGUGGGGGUUGGAAAGUUUCGGCGGUUGGGGAUGGACUCGCGGCUUAUCAGCUUGUUGGUGGGGUAGUGGCUUACCAAGGCUUUGACGGGUAGCCGGCCUGAGAGGGUGACCGGCCACAUUGGGACUGAGAUACGGCCCAGACUCCUACGGGAGGCAGCAGUGGGGAAUAUUGCACAAUGGGCGGAAGCCUGAUGCAGCAACGCCGCGUGCGGGAUGACGGCCUUCGGGUUGUAAACCGCUUUCGCCUGUGACGAAGCGUGAGUGACGGUAAUGGGUAAAGAAGCACCGGCUAACUACGUGCCAGCAGCCGCGGUGAUACGUAGGGUGCGAGCGUUGUCCGGAUUUAUUGGGCGUAAAGGGCUCGUAGGUGGUUGAUCGCGUCGGAAGUGUAAUCUUGGGGCUUAACCCUGAGCGUGCUUUCGAUACGGGUUGACUUGAGGAAGGUAGGGGAGAAAUGGAAUUCCUGGUGGAGCGGUGGAAUGCGCAGAUAUCAGGAGGAACACCAGUGGCGAAGGCGGUUCUCUGGGCCUUUCCUGACGUUGAGGAGCGAAAGCGUGGGGAGCGAACAGGCUUAGAUACCCUGGUAGUCCACGCUGUAAACGGUGGGUACUAGGUGUGGGGUCCAUUCCACGGGUUCCGUGCCGUAGCUAACGCUUUAAGUACCCCGCCUGGGGAGUACGGCCGCAAGGCUAAAACUCAAAGGAAUUGACGGGGCCCCGCACAAGCGGCGGAGCAUGCGGAUUAAUUCGAUGCAACGCGUAGAACCUUACCUGGGUUUGACAUGGAUCGGGAGUGCUCAGAGAUGGGUGUGCCUCUUUUGGGGUCGGUUCACAGGUGGUGCAUGGCUGUCGUCAGCUCGUGUCGUGAGAUGUUGGGUUAAGUCCCGCAACGAGCGCAACCCUUGUUCACUGUUGCCAGCACGUUAUGGUGGGGACUCAGUGGAGACCGCCGGGGUCAACUCGGAGGAAGGUGGGGAUGACGUCAAGUCAUCAUGCCCCUUAUGUCCAGGGCUUCACGCAUGCUACAAUGGCUGGUACAGAGAGUGGCGAGCCUGUGAGGGUGAGCGAAUCUCGGAAAGCCGGUCUCAGUUCGGAUUGGGGUCUGCAACUCGACCUCAUGAAGUCGGAGUCGCUAGUAAUCGCAGAUCAGCAACGCUGCGGUGAAUACGUUCCCGGGGCU
rnacentral:rRNA from 1 species